rnacentral:rRNA from 1 species
CCUACGGGUGGCUGCAGUGGGGAAUAUUGGACAAUGGGCGAAAGCCAGAUCCAGCCAUGCCGCGUGUGUGAAGAAGGCCUUCGGGUUGUAAAGCACUUUCAGUGGGGAAGAAAGCCUUGGGGCUAAUACCCUCGAGGAAGGACAUCACCCACAGAAGAAGCACCGGCUAACUCCGUGCCAGCAGCCGCGGUAAUACGGAGGGUGCGAGCGUUAAUCGGAAUUACUGGGCGUAAAGCGCGCGUAGGCGGUCUGAUAAGCCGGUUGUGAAAGCCCCGGGCUCAACCUGGGAACGGCAUCCGGAACUGUCAGGCUAGAGUGCAGGAGAGGAAGGUAGAAUUCCCGGUGUAGCGGUGAAAUGCGUAGAGAUCGGGAGGAAUACCAGUGGCGAAGGCGGCCUUCUGGACUGACACUGACGCUGAGGUGCGAAAGCGUGGGUAGCAAACAGGAUUAGAUACCUAGUAGUC